UCCGUAGGUGAACCUGCGGAAGGAUCAUUAGUGAAUACAAACGCCUGGGUGUCUCUGCUUCGGCAAGCCCCUCGCACCCUUCACAUCCAUAACACCUGUGCACCGUAAGAUGACUCUAGGGCUUUGGCCUCUGGGUUGUCUGACCUUUUUCACAAACAAUUAUAUGUAACAAAUGUAGUCUUAUUAUAACAAAAUAAAACUUUCAACAACGGAUCUCUUGGCUCACACAUCGAUGAAGAACGCAGCGAAACGCGAUAGGUAAUGUGAAUUGCAGAAUUCAGUGAAUCAUCGAAUCUUUGAACGCAUCUUGCGCUUGCUGGUAUUCCGGCAAGCAUGCCUGUUUGAGUGUCAUGAAACUUAUCAACCGUGACUUGGGUUUAGGCCCCUGGCUCGGCUUGGAUUUGGGUGCUUGCGGCCUUGCGUCGCUCACCUUAAAAGGAUUAGCUGGACAUGUCGUGAGACUUGGUUCUACUUGGCGUAAUAAGUAUUUCGCUGAGGACAUCCCCUCGUGGGGUGGCCAUGACUCUGGUACAGACGUCUGCUUUCUAACCCGAUCGUCCUCGGACAUCACUUUUUAUGAUCUGGCCUCAAAUCAGGUAGGACUACCCGCUGAACUUAAGCAUAUCAAUAAGCGGAGGA
rnacentral:rRNA from 1 species